AUGCUGACACUACACAUGUAUCAUAAUUCAGAUACAACCAAGAGCAAGAAGUUUCUCACCGUCAUCGCAGCGGUGAUAGCGGGGUUCGCAUUGCUUCUGCUGUCACUUAGCUUCCUGAUCUGGAGAAAGUUCCAGCGCCGCAGGAUGGGAGUCGCCGUGUUUGAUGACAUCAUGAGGGGCGAGUGUCCAACGUACCUCCUCGAAACCAUUAGGGCCUCCACCGACGGGUUCCGCCCUGAGAACGAGAUCGGGCGCGGUGGCUUCGGCAUUGUGUACAAGGGUCAAAUGCCAGACGGCCAAGAGGUUGCAGUGAAGAGGCUCUCAGCGGAGAACAGAGUGCAAGGCCUGAAAGAGUUCAAGAACGAGGUGGACCUGAUCGCCAAGCUGCAGCACCGCAACCUGGUACGCCUGCUCGGCUGCUGCAUCCACUGCUCGGACAGGAUACUUGUCUACGAGUACAUGAGCAACAAGAGCUUGGACACCUUUAUUUUUGAUCCAAGGAGGCGCGCCACUUUGAGCUGGAAGGCCAGGAUGGACAUCAUCCUCGGAGUUGCCAGAGGGCUUGUCUACCUUCAUCAGGACUCAAGGCACACAAUGAUCCACCGAGAUCUCAAGGCGGCCAACGUUCUCCUUAAUGAGGAGAUGGUCGCCAAGAUAUCGGAUUUUGGAAUUGCGAAGCUGUUCAGCAGCAGCGGAGACAACAGUCAGGACUCCACCAUCACAGAAAGGAUUGUUGGGACAUAUGGUUACAUGUCACCGGAGUAUGCCAUGGACGGCAUGGUAUCAUUCAUGCAGGAUGUGUACAGCUUCGGUGUGCUGUUGCUGGAGAUCGUCAGUGGCAGGAGGAACCAACGAAGUUUCAACCUCAUAGCUCAUGCAUGGAAUCUGUAUGAAGAAAACAGGAGCCUCGAGCUCCUUGACCCAGCUGUGCGUGGCGGCUGUUCCCCAGCAGAGCUAGAGCAUGUUAAGACGUGGAUCCAGGUAGGGCUACUGUGCGUUCAGGAGAGCCCAAGCCAACGGCCGCAAAUGGCUGCAGUAAUCCCCAUGUUGUCGCACCAACAGGCGCCAGGGCGGCCACUUCGGCCGGUUGUCUGCAUGCCGGCGAGAACUCCGGUGGACCUUCUCAACAUGGAGGAGAACACAUCUAGCAAUGAGUUGACCAUCACGAACCUCGAAGGCCGGUAG
rnacentral:rRNA from 1 species